rnacentral:lncRNA from 1 species
CAGGGGAUGGGGCAUCAGGGUGCUGGAUGAGAAUCUGGCUCUGCUCUGGGCGGGCUGUCACCAUGGUGCUGGCAGUACCCACCACCAUUCCACAACCACCAUUGAUUGAGGAGACUUGGUGCUGGUUAUACAGACUACUGACUUCGUGAAAAUUCAGAAAUCAAAAUAAUUCCUGAAUCUGCUGGCCACUGGAGAGCUGUGAACACUUUCUCUGCCAACAAGGAUUACCCAAUUACCAAAAGCAAACAAAGACAAACUGGCUAUUCAAGUACUGCAAACCAGAUAGGAAAGAUUAUUAAACUAAUACUCCCCUGGAAGAACAAGAGGACUAAUUUUCGGUGACGACAGACUUGUGCUGAUCCAUCAUCUGGAACUCCUAAAGACCUGAAUGGCUGACUGGGAUUAGUGACUACUAUCUGGUUUUACUGGUUUUACUCUACUAAGCCCAUGAUUUUGUGUUUUAACCAAUUAAGAAAAUUAUCCCAAAGCACAAUAAAAAUAGCCUAGGUCUGAAUACCACCAGUUUUUUGGCAACAGUCCUGCUUCUUGCCUUUUUCUCAUCCUCAUCUGCAGCUUUCUUGAAUUCAUGUUCAAAGGAGCUAGCUAGUUCAUUGAAGAGUCCCACCUCCUCACAGUUC